rfam:Sorghum bicolor cultivar BTx623 chromosome 3, whole genome shotgun sequence.
GUUGUCGGAUUCACUUCAAUCUAUAUGUGUUGGUGUGGAUUGGGGUAAAAUUUAGUUCAAGUUCCAAUCCAAUCCACUUCAACACAUGUGGAUUGAUGUGAAUCCGACU